rnacentral:rRNA from 1 species
UGGGGAAUAUUGGACAAUGGGGGAAACCCUGAUCCAGCAAUGCCGCGUGAGUGAUGAAGGCCUUAGGGUUGUAAAGCUCUUUUACCUGCGAUGAUAAUGACAGUAGCAGGGGAAUAAGCUCCGGCUAACUUCGUGCCAGCAGCCGCGGUAAUACGAAGGGAGCUAGCGUUGUUCGGAAUUACUGGGCGUAAAGGGCGCGUAGGCGGCGCUGUAAGUGAGAUGUGAAAGACCUGGGCUUAACCUGGGAAGU